UAGCGCACUCCCUCUGCGCGUGUUUUUAUUCAUCUUGCUUUCGGUUGAACUCGUCGUCUUCAAAUGAAUGGAAUAGUACAAUAGUUCAAUAAUAGGCCUACAGCAGUUCUUUUAACCUGGAAAAGUUGGAAUGUUACUUUCGUGAAGGUCUCAACAGCAACGCAAAGCUGUGGAGGCUACAGGUCUCGUGGGGGAGCCGACCGGUGGUUACGGGGAUGUCGCCGGGCUGAGGAGACGAGAGGAGCAUGCGCGCCGUCCUGGGGCUGCUCUGGGCGGCUAUCCUCCUGGCUCGGAGCCGAGUGAGUGUGUGUCUCCAGGCUCCGUCUGCUCUGCGUAUGGAGGCGAUCAACACGCGAUACACACUCCACUGGGACUGGCCUGACGACACACACACACACCUCACCCCCUGCUACACCGUGCAGUACCUCUUUUCUCACCAGGUGGACUGGGGCCAGAGUGCGCGUGUGUGUGAGGGUGUGUGUGUGCGCGUGUGUGAUCUGAGCGACCACCUGUCUUUCUCGGGGUCCUACCUGCUCCGCGUGGGGGCGGGGCUUAAAGGUCAGAGGUCAAACUGGAGCCACAGCAUCACCUUCACACCUGACG